rnacentral:rRNA from 1 species
CCUGACGGUAGUCGUAUGCUCGUCUCCGAGACUAAGCCAUGCAAGUCCAAGUACACGUCCUUGAACGACGGAAACUGCGAACGGCUCAUUAAAUCAGUUGCGAUCUACUCGGCGUUCCGCGCCGCCGGAUAACCGUAGUAAUUCUAGGGCUAAUACGUGCGAAGCGCCCGAAGCCGCGAGGCGACGGGCGUUCUCGCCGGAUGUAGGAACCGACCCGGGGACCGCCGGGGCAACCCGGCGCCCCGAGACGGGGCGAACCACGUGAAAUGACGGAUCGUCGGCCCCGCGCCGGCGACUCGCCGAAUGAGUUUCUGACCUAUCAACUCGAGACGGCGGGGUAGGAGGCCCGCCGCGGUAACGACGGGUAACGGGGAAGUCAGGGUUCGAUUCCGGAGAGGGAGCCGAGAAACGGCUACCACUUCCAAGGAAGGCAGCAGGCG